rnacentral:rRNA from 1 species
UACGAAGGGGGGCUAGCGUUGUUCGGAAUUACUGGGCGUAAAGGGCGCGUAGGCGGUGAUCUUUGUCAGAGGUGAAAGCCCGGGGCUCAACUCCGGAAUUGCCUUUGAAACGGGAUUGCUUGAGUCCGAGAGAGGAUGGCGGAAUUCCUAGUGUAGAGGUGAAAUUCGUAGAUAUUAGGAAGAACACCGGUGGCGAAGGCGGCCAUCUGGCUCGGUACUGACGCUGAUGCGCGAAAGCGUGGGGAGCAAACAGG